ensembl:snRNA U6 U6 spliceosomal RNA
GAGCUCGCUUCGGCAGCACAUAUGCUAAAAUUGGAACGAUGCAGAGAAGAUUAGCAUGGCCCCUGAGCAAGGAUGGAAUAUUGAACCAAAGCAAAAUACUCUGGUUGG